rnacentral:lncRNA from 1 species
CGCCAGGGCUGGGCCAUUUGGGAAAGUCCGUGGCGGAGGCACAGGGCUGGGCUGGAAGCGAGGGAGGUGCCUGCGAGGAAGGGCAGGGGCCACUCUGUGGUCAGUGGAAUGGGAUUAGGAUCGGGAUUAGGACUCCUAGUGUGGAAACAGCAUGGACAUCCCACCGCAAAGGUGUCUCUCUGCUUUCAGGAAACGGCCGGGAGCGAAGCAGCUUUCUGACAGGCAUUACGGUCCCAGCGUGGAAAGUGUCCGGGUACCUGACACGCAGACAGGCCCUCUUCUGCUGGGCCAUCCAGAUCCUUAGUGACCCUCCAUGUGGCAAAUGGGACAGGUGUGUUUGUACCCCAUGAAAGGUCAGCACGGUAUUAAAAUGGAAUCAUCGGAGUUCCCGUCAUGGCACAGCGGAAACGAAUCCGACUAGGACCCAUGAAGUGGCGGGUUUGAUCCCUGGCCUUGCUCAGUGAGUUAAGGAUCUGGCAUUGCCGUGAACUGUGGCGUAGGUCCCAGAUGCGGCUUGGAUCCUGUGUUGCUGUGGCUCUGGUGUAGGCCAGCAGCUAUAGCUCGGAUUAGACUCCUAGCCUGGGAACCUCCAUAUGCCGCGGGUGCAACCCUUAAAAAUACAAAAGAAAAAUAAAUAAAUAAAUAAAUAAUAAAACGGAAUCA